CUCAACAGUGCCACUACCUGACACAACAGCAGCAGUGAUGGGGGCAGGGGAGAAAAGGCAGAGGAGGUGAGAGGCUCAGGUUGGAGCUGUUUAGCCCACUUCAGCUAUUCCUCUCCUACUUCCCUCACACGUGCCAUGUCACAACACAGCUGCUGCAGACUCACUCCCUGAGCAGGAGAUCUUUGGGGUGCAGUGACUGAUGGUCAGGUUUGACAUGAAGAACCCAUCUCUGGGGAUGGAGAGAAAAGACAAGGACUCUCAACACCUUUGGCAAGGUGAGGAUUAAAGCCUGCCUCCCUCUUUUCACUAAUAAUCAGUAAUAGUGCACAAAUGCAGUACAAAUUCAAUUCUGGGCUGGAGGAUGUAUAGGCAACUGCUGUGCAAAAUCCAAUUCCUUGGGCUUUUGCUUUCCCGUCCUUGCUCUUCUAGCAAUCUGGAUGAUGCUGUUUUUUGGGUUGCCAGUUUUGCAGAUCUUUACUCACAAGAGUAAAUUGUUAGUUUGCCUGAGCAAUCAGAUGGAUGAUGAGGGGGAACCUCCAGAAAAGGGAAUAUUUGUGGGAUGGAACCAUGGAAGUGUACUCACAAGCGAAGGUGGCAUUGAGAGGGCUUUGGGAGUGUCCUAACUGAGUACCUCUGUGUGUUUGAUGGCAGUGAUGGUGCCACGCCAUAUGCAGCCAUUCCCAUCCCAAAGUGUUACAGGAGGUUCAAAGUACACAGAGUUUCUCCCCUUUGCUCCAGUACAAAUGGUAACAGCAAGUUGUCAUCUGAGUGACCUGAAUUCAGGGUCAGCUGACGCAAGGACUACCCUACUUGACCCUCAGCAGACGUGAAGGAGUAUUUGUAUACCAAAGUCCCUUAAAUGCAUAGUGAGGGACGUGUUCUUCUACUACAUACACCCUGACCUGGCACCAACCAAGUAGGAGAGCUCUAUAUGACCCGAGAGAUGCGAGCAUACCCAUUUAUACCUCUCCAGUAGGUGGGUGAGUAUUGCUCUUAAUCCCAUUGUGCUUUCUGGGAACAAGCUUUCUGGAAAAAUCUCCUAGAUAAAAAUCACGCCAAGCCAUUAUUUCCCUUUAGAUCCCUCCACAUGACCCACCUCUGCCAUACUGCUGGCAAAUGAUGUGCUUGGGUAGAGGCAAAUCCCAGACUGGUGUGUUGGGGUAGAGGCAAUGGGCUGCAUGCAUCCUUCUUCUUCCCUGGUCCUUCUAUCCUGCUUCUCACUGCAAAGAGUGGAACACAAAUAACUCAAUAAGGUACACAAAAAUAAACUACGGCCAACAGAUCACCUCUCCCUCUAUCUCGAACAAACGCACGUCCCGAAAACUUCUGAAUCAGAAAUGUCACACCAAAAAUGUUGACAUUUCUGAUUGAAACCAAACAAGCAUUGUCGUUUUGAAUCAGUGCUUUGACACGGAGUAGAGGCUUGUUUGUUUAAAUUAAAUCACCCAACUGGAGCUACAUUUUGUCAUUUUGUAUCUGAACGAAACAAAGAGAAACAGUUUCGACAUUUCUUGGCAGAGCUGAGAGUGACAUUUUCCUGUGAAAGAGUUUGGUUUUGAAAAGUUUUGGCAGGUAAAUCUUCUGCACCAAAGAGCUCCAUUGACCCUCAUCUUCCUCCUUGGAAGAAGCCAACACACAUGGUUAUGUAGUAAUAGACUUGAUCAUAUUAACACAGAAAACCGAAUCCCGGGUGCAAAAUGCUCCAAUGAGGACAAUAACAACAGCAUCAGUUUUGAUUUUUCCUUUGUUAGAAAAUACUGUUUUGUUUAUAUUCACAAAGUUUUGGAUAAAAACCAUCUCUUAACCUUUUGCUCCUUUUGUUUUCCUUUUCCCCUCUACUCUCCCUGUAUAUUUAUUUAUUUAUCUAUUUAAGCAGUCCCGUUGAAUUCAUUUCAAACUGAGAAGUUCAAUUUGGGAAGCAAUUGAGAUAAUGACUUAUUUAAUGUUUGCUUACUUUGAAGACAUGGGGGAGUAUAGCUCCCUCCUCCUUCCUCCCUCUCCCCUCUCCUCCCCCCAACAAAGAAAAGGAAAAAGGAAAAAGAAAGGGAAAAGGACAAGGAAAAUAAAUAAAAGGAAAAGAUAUUUAUGUAUACAUAUAUAUAUAAAAGGCAAAGAAAAAGAAAGAGAAAAAGAAAAAGAAAAAGGACAAGAAAAAGAACAAUAUUCAGAUCUGUUUAAGGAAUUUUUAUGGUUGAUCCACAGUUAUUCUUAUGUCUGUACUGCAUGCAACUUACGAACAAAAAAUUCUCACACCUAAUUACUUGUAGACUACAAACUCUGACAGGUCCCAUUGGACCAAAUUUCAUAAGCAGAAAAAGACCCAUUCCUUUGAGUGAUCAUUCUCUAUAAUGUGUGUAAAUAAAUCACUAUGGGUCAGGGUUGAUAUCAAGAGAUUUCUUACCUCUGACUUCCAGACCUAGAGCAUUUUUGCUCUUUUAAAAAUUCUCUCCAAGCAGCUCGGUAAGGUGCCAGAGAGUUAGUACAAUCUGAGUGGUUCAUCUGCAGAAGUUUCCUUUUCUUUGUUCUUUUCACUUAAAAAACACCAUGGCAUUCAUGAAGUUGGUUUGGUUCCUGCAGUGGAACCUGAGAUGCAUUUCCUUUUUUUGUCUGACAAUCUACACCUAACCUUGACAGCAUGAGACAGGCAGAUGUUUUAUAAUGAAGGUCACAAGCCUGUAAUUUUUAUAUAAAUAGCAUAUUGAGAUAAAUAUAUAAAUACAUCUUUCUCGUUUCAAGGUAUAAAUUAAUGUUAUGAAAAAUUACUGGGUGAUGUGUAAGAUAAUGUGGAAAAAACAAACAAACAAACAAGCAAAAAACUAUUUUGUAAGUUUCCCAAUAAAACAAUGGUAACAAUUUACAGGCUUCAAAAAUACACAUAAAUCAUUAAAAAAAAAAAAAAAAAAAAGCUAUUUAAAAUCAUAAAUAAAGUAAAUUAAAGUAAAUUCAAAUUGACCAGUUUCUUAAUUAGUUUUAGCUUUCAGGUCUUUAGUGCAGUUGGGAGCUUUAUCUAGUAGACAUCUAUCUAUCUUAUCUAUCUAUCUGUCUAUCUAUCUAUCUAUCUAUCUAUCUAUCUUUAUCUAUUUAUCCAUCCACCCACCCAUCCAACCAUCCACCCACCCACCCAUCCAUCUAUCCAUCUAUCUAUCUACCGGUCUACCUAUCCAUCCAUCUAUUCAUCCAUCUAUUCAUCCAUCCAUCCAUCCAUCCAUCCAUCCAUCCAUCCAUCCAUCCAUCCAUCCAUCCAUCUAUUCAUCCAUCUAUCUAUCCAUCUAUCUAUUUAUCCAUCUAUCUAUCCACACAUCAUCUCUUAGACCUGCACUGGUUAGCAGUCCAUUGAGUCUCACUGCAGUGUAGGCAAUGAGAGAUUAUAUUUGGAGACAGGUGAAAACAGGGAGAAAUAUGAAUGUACUUCAGUCUUUCCAUUUGUUUUCUUCAAGAAUUGGAAGUUCAACUGUUGGAACAAUUGGUCCAAAAAUAGAAAUAACAGUGAUUUUAAAUCUGCCCUUUCAUUUUGUAAAUCCCUCAGACUUGUGGGAUUGAAUUUCAAUAUUGUUGUGUGAACUAAGGCAGCCAAGAACAAAAAUUCAGGGCCAAAGGGCUGGAAAUCAAGUGCAAAACUAUUUUUAAGAGACACAAACCUCCUCUUUUGGUUGAUUCUCCACAUAUUUGUUAUGCUUAUUCCUUAGCAUUCUCUAAUCAUUUACCUUGCGUAGUAUUUUGACAACUGAGUGCUGUUGUUCCUAUCUCAGCAUCUCCUUGAUGGACAGAUACUCUGCCAUCAUCACUUCUAUCCAAAAACAAAAGAACGAUUUUUAUUUUUAUUUUUGCUCUCCAAUUUCUCAGCCAAGACAAUUAGAAGAAGAUCUUGGUAGCUUAGAAACAUCAUAUUACAGUGUGGGAAAUGACUGUCUGGGAUGCUCAGUUCAAGUCAAUGACUUCCUUACCUAUCAGAUCUUUCCACAGUCUCCUUCCCUUACAGAGCCAGUGACUGAACAUUCAUCUGUGAUCAGGCAGCACACAAAAGUUGUGGAACUCAGUGAUGCAGCACUUGCUGACACACCAGCAGAGGACCAUCUGCCUUUACACAGGCUGCUCAGACAUGAGUGUCCUUUUGAACACAGUUGAAUGUUGGCCUCCUGCAGCUCUUUCAGCAUCCAUCAGUUUGUUCCUACUCUUAGAGCUGUGGUGAUAUUUUGCAGUCUUUCCAGAGCCGUAAGUGACUGUGAUCUUGAAAGCACAUGAAAUUCUUUCCCUCAUAAAUAACAUCAAAGAAACUAAUUACUAAUAAGCAUCAAAAUCUGCCUUGGAUUCUCAUGUGCAUUGUUGAUCUAAUAUGUGGUAGAAUUCAAUCACAGUUUUCAUGCUGAUUACAAUUUUGCAUAUAGAUGUGUAUAGCUGUGUAUACAUAUAAAAGUAAGACUUUAUAAACUAAUAGAAAAGCAAUAACAUGAAUAAGAAGCAUGUAAGCAAAAACGUUGCAUUAGUCAAUGAAGCAUAAACUGGCAGGAAGUGAUUUAAAUCUAUGUAGUUUAAGAUAGGAAGUGAAUGGAAAUGCUGGAUCUGCUUGGGAAUCUUGGGUAUAAAGAACUGUUUAAUCUGGUUUGAAAAGGAAUCUGUAAAAGGAAUUGAUAACUAGAAGUCAAAGUCAGAGAGAAGAGCACAUUGCUAUGAAGAUAUAUCUGGUUCAUAGUGAUUAAUAAUUUCAGAAACUUAAUAGGAAGAUUGGUAAAAAUCACCAUCUCAUGACAUUUUCAGGUUGAAGACUAGAUGACUUUGUAGAAGAUAUUUUUUAGCCAAGCAAAAGUAAUUGGGUCCAGGACAAGAGCAGACAUGAAAUGAGUUAAGAACUGCCUAACUGACAGAUCUUUCAAAGUAAUUGUCAAUGCAGAAUUAUUGUGGGAGAUGAGUGUUACUAGAGUUUUCCCCUAUGCUAUUCAUCAGUAAUUUGGAAGUAAAUAUAAUGCUACUCCUGAUGACAUUUGUAGAUCACAUUAUGGUUGGCAAAAUAGCAAAGAAUGAGAGUCCAAGGUAGCCUGGCUAAACAAACUGCACCACCUGACUCAGGCAAACAAAAUGCAUUUUGGUACAAUAAGAUGCAAGUUCUGCUCCUUGCAAGCUUAGUCUAAAUCCUUGUAAUGUGAUCAGCUGCAGCCUGGACAAGCAUCAUAAUUCUGGCUCGCAGUUGGACCCUCAAAUCUGAAAGUGCUGAUGUGAUCCUUGGCUCUGCAGCCAGGUGACUUGUGGUGUAUGGCACCAGUAAGGUUGAACCUGAGAGGCUGUUUAUGGGUCUGACAGCCACAUUUCAAAACAUAUGGUGACAAAAUUGGAGAGGGUACAGAAAAGAGCCACAAAAGAUGAUUGAGGGCUGGGGGAAAUGAUUUGCAGGGCAAGCGUUGAAGGAUUAUGUUCAGCUAUCAGAAAUAGAUUUGAUUUCAGGAGGAAAAAUGCCUUGUAGUGAAGGAAAUUGCAAGGUACCAAGGGAUCAGAGUCAGGCACCUAAUUUCUCAGAGAAUUUGGACCAGAACUGUUUCUCCCUACAGCAUUUCCCACAUAACAUUUGAAGUGACCCCUAUCCUCUGUAAAUCCAACUAAUCCCUAAGUCUGUCCAGGAAUUGUGAUGGAGAGACCUCAGUUCAAGCUUUGGGGUCUACUUUGUGGCUGGGUGUUGCAUUGCCCCAGUGCAAUUCUGGAUCUGGCCUGGGACUUCUUUCUGGAAACAAAGGUUUAACAGAAUAAAUUAAAUUAUUUGUUAGCUUAAACCAAGGUGAAAUAUAGUUGACUCUGACAGACUGGAGACAGGCUGGAUGUGGUCCUUUUUGGCUUGACAGUCUUUGAAAAUAAAUUUGCAGCAUAAUCAUGUAAAUGUCUGUUGAACUUUGGCUGACAGCAGUACACACACAGCCCCAGCUCUCAUGAAAUACUCUAUCUUAACUGAUGAAAUUCUACUGUUCCUAGUUGAAGGUAUCAGUCAUCCAAUGGCGGAAGGAACAGCACUGUAAGGGGGAGGACAAAUCAUGAUUUUUCUUGAGAAACUGUUGAAUUACUGAAACUGAAAGAUUUUCCUUUGUCUGGCUUUGGCGAGGUGGAUUUCUUCAAUCCAGGAUGAACUUCUUGAUGCAGAAUUUCACAGAGCCUAGCCUAACCUUCGUGGUAGGAUCCCAGUGGUAAUGUGUUAUAUCAUGCCUUACAUUUCUAACCUAUCCAAGACAAGGCAGAUACAUGAACCUCCUCCUCCAGAUAUAAUAUGUUGGUUAUUCUUGCGUGGAUCAGCCAUUGUAUUUGGUUGGACUGCUCUGUUAGUCUUGAAUAACACUAACUGGAUCAGGGAUAAUUGAUUGCCUUUGUCCACAGAUCUCCUAUGGAGAGGGUAAUUUAUUUAUUUAUUUUUCUUCAGAAAGAAACAAGCCAACAAAGGAAACAAGAACAACAACAACAACAACACACACACACACACACACACACACAAAAGGCCCUGGUUUUAUCAAAGCAUGAACUGCACUCUCACCUCCACUCUUUUCCCCUUUCCAAUACCCCCAGAAUAAAAUAAUAAUAAUAAUAACAAACCACACACACAAAAAAAGAAGAGUCAAUAAACUUCAGAGAAUAUGAAAACAUCUUUCAUGAUUCUUCUUUGCCCGGUGUGAUUUUGUUGGACCCGUCACAAAAAAAGGGCACACAGGCCUGAGAUAAUGUCAGCAGUUGCAGGAUGCAUUUCACAGAAUUUCCUUAUCAGCAAGCUGGAAAAACUCAAAGCUACUGAGUGCUCUGUGCGUGGGGAGAGCAGCAAUCCACAAAGAUGGACUAAUUCCAGAGGAAUUCAAGUGAAGACUGUGUCACAACUAUUAACCCAAUUUUAAAGAUGCUCCAAACUGCUGCCAGCAUGUACUUUAUAUAAUGUGACCGAAGUUUGGACUGCUGAUCUUCAACAUCUAUACCAGUGAUAUAGAUAAUGGGAUUGAGUACAUCUUCAGCAGUUUUCUGAUGACAUCAAGCUGAGUGGUGCAGUUGAUAUGACAGAAGGAAAGGAUACCAUCCAAAGGGACCUGGACAGACUGGAGAGGUGGGCCCACAUGAGCUAAUGAACAAGGCCAAGUGUAGAGUGUUGGGUUGGAGUAAUCUCAGAUAUGUGUACGGAAUGGGAGAAGAAUUCAUUGAGAACAGCCUUGGACAGAAGGAGCUGGGAGUUAUGAUGGAUGACGAGCUGGAUAUGAGGCAGCAGUGCACACUUGUAGCCAAGAAGACCAACAGUAUCCUGGGCUACAUAAAAUAGGUGUGGCAGUGAGCAGGGAGGGGAUUGUCCCCCACUUCUCUGCUCUUGUGAGGCAUCUGUCUGGAUGGAGUACCAUGUCCACACCUGGGGCCCCCAGCAAAAGAAGGAUGAAGAUCUGUGGGAGAGGAUCCAAAAGAAGGUCACAAAGAUGUUCAGAGAGGUGGAGCACUUCUGAUACGAAGAAGGAUUAGAGUGAGAUGUGCUUAGCUUGGAGAAGAGAAGGAUCUGGGAAGACCUCAUAGAAACCUAAUACUUGAGGGGAGCUUAUAAGCAGAGGGGAGCUUAUAAGCAGAAGGGAGGUGCAAUUUUUGAUGUGAUUGGAAAGGGAGAAAUGGCUUUAAACUAAAAGAGGGGAAAUUUAAGUUGGAUGUUAGGAAGAAAUUCUUUCCUCAGAGGGUGGUGAGACCGUGGCACAGGUUGCCUGGAGAAGCUGUGGAUGCCCCAUUCCUGGAGUCAGCCAAGGCUAGGCGCCCUGAGAAGCCUGGUUUAGUGGCUGGCAACCUUUCCCAUGGCAGGGGGAUUAGAGAUUAAUGACUUUUAACCUUCCAACCUAAGCCAUUCUAUGAUCCUAUGCUUUUAUGAUUUUAUUAAGUGAAUCCAAAUGUAAAGAACAAAACUGAGGGCCUUCAUUUUGGCCUUCAGUUGAAGCCACAGUGGGGUACGCAGAUCCCUAAUUUCAUAGUAUCUCUGAUCUUCACACUUUAUAAGUAGCAUUUUAGAACACAGGCUUGAUUCAUUUUCUGAUUUAGAUCUCUACAGGAGUAUACACUGAAAAAAACAAGUACAAAGCUUGGGAGUUUCUCUUUAUGGUAUCUGUUUUCAAUGAACUGUUUAUGUCCUACACUGGGAUUAUGGCUUUAUGUGCUAUCAACUUCUUGGUCUGUUAGCCAAACCUCUCAAAGCCAUAUGAAUGUUGAGGUAUUUUUGGACUUUUGUUUUGUUUUGUUUUGUUUUGUUUUUUCCCCUGCAGAUUAUUCAGCUAUUAAUUUUUUCUUUCUUUUUUUUUUUUUUCCCACAUACUGUUAUGCUAAAAAAAACCAAACAAGUUGAACUCAUUGUGUUUCUUUUUAUCAUCAUCUCUUAAUUUUAGAUAAAUGUAGGCAUUAGAGAAUGAGAAAACAAGAUAUUUUGACUUGAAAACAUAAAACUUUAUGAUCAAAGCUGCUUUUUUUAGGGUAAAAUGUCACAGGGAUCUAAUUAGGAUAAAGAAUUUAAACUGUCAUUGUAAAUUGGAGUAGAGAGCUUUGUGUAUGGGCUUCAUGUAUUCAGGGCUACUUAACCUCUGCAGGAAGUGGAGAGAAGUGGUUUGCAUCAGCUGCACCGUGUACAUUGUUUUCUCCUUGGUCAUCAGAUGCCAGGAGUUACAGUAAUCCAUCCUGGAAGUGACAAACAUAUGACACCACAUGGCAUGAUCCUGUGGGAAGAAGGGUGGAAUUUCCUAUGGGUGCAAAUGCGUCAAGAAAAAGGACAUUUUUUUAAGUCUGAACACCCUUCCUGGCUGUCCCAGGUUAGUGAUGUAUGAGGCUUCUCAUCUUUUCACUAAUUUUCUUCAUUCUUACAGUUUUAUUGUAUUUUUAUUUAUUUGUUUGUUUGUUUGUUUGUUGAUUGCAGUAGGAAUCACUUCCACAUACAGAAGACCAGGAUUUUUUUUUUUUUUUAAUGUAUGUAUCUUUAAUUUAUUAAUUAGGUACAUGUUACAUUUGUUGUUUGUACCCUUGUUCCUCACAGUCCCAUAUCUGUUAGGAUAUAAUCAGAAGAAAAAAAAAAAUAAACAAGGUUUACAAUGAAAAUCUGUACUUCUUUGAUGGAGGUCAUUGAUAUGGAAGCUAUCCUCUUAGAGACAGGAUUAAGGUUUUAAAGCUAGAAGGGACAUUAUUAAUUCCUGAUCUGAGAACUUCUGGACAAUCUCUUCCCCAGAUUAUCU
ensembl:lncRNA